UCAUCAAGUACAGUCUCAUCUUAAGAGCACUAAGAAAUUUCAGCAUAAAUUGACUUAGUUUUGCUUAAUUCAGAGCUUCCCAAAUAUUUUUUUUUUUUGCAUAUGGAAACAUCUUUAGAAAGACACUUUAAAAAAUUAGAGCUCUAACCAAAGGUUACUUUCACCUAAACAUCUGUGCUCUGAAGAAGAGUUUAGGGAAAAAAUCAAGGAAUAAUUUUGGAAGAUUCUUAUUUGUCAUAAUUUUAAUGGAACUCGAAGGGCAGAGGAGGCAAGAGUGAGAAAAGAACUGCCAACUGAAUUUGAAGACAGUCUGAAAACAGAAGUGCUUUCAAAUGCCAAGGCACAGUCAUUCUUCUAAGGAAGAAUAUCAGGUUUUGUCAAGUUUUCUUAAAUCGACAUUUCAUCAAUCAGACAAGAAGAAUUUGCAAACUGGGUUUGUCCACCGGGAAGCAUCAGCAGCAUAUUGGAAUGAUGACUUCAGCUAACUGAAGCUAGCUCUCCUACUGUAGGCUUGCUGAGGUUGACCAUAUCCCCGUACAGGUCACAGCCUUCUCCACGUAGUGCUCUCUGAGUCCAGGCUCUGUGUAUAAGAAUUCCAGUUGCUCCACAUCCUCACUGAACACAUGAUGUGG